UAUAUAUAUAUAUAUAUAUAUAUUCUUAAAAAAUGAUUUAUUACAAAAAAGUGUGUAUAAGUAAUUUCUGAAAUUCUUUAUGCGUAUCUUUCCUAUUAUUGUAUGUGUAGCAGUGUUUCUUCACAAAACUUCGGAGUAUUACACGAUCAAUCUAAUUUUUCAAAUUUUCUCAUCAACACUGUUUAUCUAAAAAUUGGAUGCAUGUUUUCUUUUAAUGAGCAAAAAGGUAGUUGUAUAUAUCACACUAAGCAAUGAUUAAGAAAACUGACAAUUUGAAAAUUAAAUUGUUAAAUUGGAUUGAUAGUGUCCUUAAUUGUGGGCAAUUUUCUGUGAAAGCAUGGUUAAAAAUUUUUUUAAACCUCUCAUAUUUCUAAACAAUUUCACUUUAGAGUUCAUAAUAUUACCUGAUGGGAAGCACUGAAAUGAAAAAGGCAAGAAUAUGUGCAAUCUGGGGAUUAUCGAUAUUUCAGCACAUGUUUAUGUAUCCAGGUAAAUGGUGGCACCUUAGUGUAAAUUGAAGCUCUCUAAUGACAGCACAAGUAUACCGAUGUAAUUUAUAAAUUUAAAGAAAUGGAUCUAAUUUAUAGGUUCAAGAAAAACUUAAUGCUGUUUUACGAGAAAGUCAUAUCUGCAAAAGAAGAAGAGAAUAAAGAAAAAACUCUUACAAUAUUUUUAUAGUUUAUUGAACUUUUAUCACUGUAACGGAAUGAUUAUUUAUCUUUAUAUCACACUCC